rnacentral:rRNA from 1 species
UGGGGGAUAUUGCACAAUGGGCGAAAGCCUGAUGCAGCGACGCCGCGUGGGGGAUGAAGGCCUUCGGGUUGUAAACUUCUUUUGCUCUGAACAAGGCAUGCCUUUGGGGUGUGUUGAGUGUAGGGGUUGAUUAGCGCCGGCUAACUACGUGCCAGCAGCCGCGGCAAUACGUAGGGCGCGAGCGUUGUCCGGAAUUAUUGGGCGUAAAGGGCUUGUAGGUGGCUGGUUGCGUCUGUCGUGAAAGCUCAUGGCUUAACUGUGGGUUUGCGGUGGGUACGGGCUGGCUUGAGUGCAGUAGGGGAGGCUGGAAUUCCUGGUGUAGCGGUGGAAUGCGCAGAUAUCAGGAGGAAUACCGGUGGCGAAGGCGGGUCUCUGGGCUGUUACUGACGCUGAGGAGCGAAAGCGUGGGGAGCGAACAGG